AGAGUUUGAUCCUGGCUCAGAACGAACGCUGGCGGCGUGCUUAACACAUGCAAGUCGAACGAGAAUCGGGGCUUGCUCCGAGGAUAGUGGCGCACGGGUGAGUAACGCGUGGAUAACCUGCCCUGGUAUCUGGGAUAACAUCUCGAAAGGGGUGCUAAUACCGGAUAAGCCCACGGGAACUUUGGUUCUUGCGGGAAAAGGUGGCCUCUGAAUAUGCUACUGUAUCAGGAUGGGUCCGCGUACCAUUAGCUAGUUGGUGGUGUAAUGGACUACCAAGGCGACGAUGGUUAGCUGGUCUGAGAGGAUGAUCAGCCACACUGGAACUGAGACACGGUCCAGACUCCUACGGGAGGCAGCAGUGGGGAAUUUUGCGCAAUGGGGGAAACCCUGACGCAGCAACGCCGCGUGAGUGAUGAAGGCCUUCGGGUCGUAAAGCUCUGUCAGAGGGGAAGAAGUGUAUGGGUGCUAAU
rnacentral:rRNA from 1 species